UGAAUCAUUUUGCUUUUUGCAGUACCAUGAUUGAUGCCUUUCCUAAAUUUGAACUACUCAAAUUUUAAAAUCCCUUGUUUAUCAAACUUUUGCAGUUACUAGGAUGACUUGUUAUUUCACCGAUCAUUUUCGGUAUUUUAUUUGUAGUACGUUUACCGUGCUUCAAAGUUGUAGUAUGUAGAUUCUCAAGUGUUUCUUUGAGUCCAAAGAAGCUCUUAUCUAACCCAGAAAUAAAGCUGAAGAAGUGUCUUGGCACCUUAGAAUUCUUCUUAAAUCAUAAAAUUCAGGAAGUGGAAAUGAUUUGUUAGCACUAAAUCAAUUAACUAACUGUAUCCCUGUCAAAGGAAGCCCGGCAUGAAGCUGAAGAGCAACAUCACUAACAGUCUGCAGCAGAAUAAACAGGCAAGAAAAGUAUCAGAUUUGACAGGAGUUCAUUGGUCCUCUCUCUUUUCUCUUAAUCAAUAUAUAUUCAAUGAUAGCAUAUAUAAUUCAGAAAAAUAAAUUACAAAAGCAAUUUAAGCAUA
rnacentral:sRNA from 1 species